AGGGCGCACGGUGGAUGCCUUGGCACUAGGAGCCGACGAAGGACGUGACAAACGACGAUAUGCCUUGGGUAGCUGUAAGUAAGCGAUGAUCCAGGGAUUUCCGAAUGGGGGAACCCAACAGGUAAUACCUGUUACCUACAUCUGUUAAGGAUGUGAGGAGGAAGACGCAGUGAACUGAAACAUCUAAGUAGCUGCAGGAAGAGAAAGCAAAAGCGAUUGCCUUAGUAGCGGCGAGCGAAACGGCAGAAGGGCAAACCGAAGAGUUUACUCUUCGGGGUUGUAGGACUGCAAUGUGGACUCAAAGAUUAUAGAAGAAUGAUUUGGGAAGAUCAGCCAAAGAGAGUAAUAGCCUCGUAUUUAAAAUAGUCUUUGUACUUAGCAGUAUCCUGAGUACGGCGGGACACGUGAAAUCCCGUCGGAAUCUGGGAGGACCAUCUCCCAACCCUAAAUACUCCCUAGUGACCGAUAGUGAACCAGUACCGUGAGGGAAAGGUGAAAAGCACCCCGGGAGGGGAGUGAAAUAGAACCUGAAACCGUGUGCCUACAACAAGUUCGAGCCCGUUAAUGGGUGAGAGCGUGCCUUUUGUAGAAUGAACCGGCGAGUUACGUUAUGAUGCGAGGUUAAGUUGAAGAGACGGAGCCGUAGGGAAACCGAGUCUGAAUAGGGCGCCUUAGUAUCAUGACGUAGACCCGAAACCAUGUGACCUACCCAUGAGCAGGUUGAAGGUGCGGUAAGACGCACUGGAGGACCGAACCAGGGCACGUUGAAAAGUGCUUGGAUGACUUGUGGGUAGCGGAGAAAUUCCAAACGAACUUGGAGAUAGCUGGUUCUCUCCGAAAUAGCUUUAGGGCUAGCGUCGACAUUAGAGAUUCUUGGAGGUAGAGCACUGUUUGGGUGAGGGGUCCAUCCCGGAUUACCAAUCUCAGAUAAACUCCGAAUGCCAAUGAAUUAUGGUCGGCAGUCAGACUGCGAGUGCUAAGAUCCGUAGUCGAAAGGGAAACAGCCCAGACCACCAGCUAAGGUCCCAAAAUAAUUGUUAAGUGGAAAAGGAUGUGGGGUUGCACAGACAACUAGGAUGUUAGCUUAGAAGCAGCUAUUCAUUCAAAGAGUGCGUAAUAGCUCACUAGUCGAGUGACCCUGCGCCGAAAAUGUAACCGGGGCUAAAACAAUUUACCGAAGCUGUGGAUACCUUUAUAGGUAUGGUAGGAGAGCGUUCUAUGUGUGAUGAAGGUAUACCGUGAGGAGUGCUGGAACGCAUAGAAGUGAGAAUGCCGGUAUGAGUAGCGAAAGACAGGUGAGAAUCCUGUCCACCGUAAGACUAAGGUUUCCAGGGGAAGGCUCGUCCGCCCUGGGUUAGUCGGGACCUAAGGAGAGACCGAAAGGUGUAUCCGAUGGACAACAGGUUGAUAUUCCUGUACUAGAGUAUGUAGUGAUGGAGGGACGCAGUAGGCUAACUAAAGCAGACGAUUGGAAGAGUCUGUCUAAGCAGUGAGGUGUGAAUUGAGUCAAAUGCUUAAUUCUAUAACAUUGAGCUGUGAUGGGGAGCGAAGUUUAGUAGCGAAGUUAGUGACGUCACACUGCCAAGAAAAGCUUCUAGCGUUUAAACAUACUCUACCCGUACCGCAAACCGACACAGGUAGUCGAGGCGAGUAGCCUCAGGUGAGCGAGAGAACUCUCGUUAAGGAACUCGGCAAAAUGACCCCGUAACUUCGGGAGAAGGGGUGCUGACUUAAAGUCAGCCGCAGUGAAUAGGCCCAAGCAACUGUUUAUCAAAAACACAGCUCUCUGCUAAAUCGUAAGAUGAUGUAUAGGGGGUGACGCCUGCCCGGUGCUGGAAGGUUAAGAGGAGUGCUUAGCGUAAGCGAAGGUAUGAAUUGAAGCCCCAGUAAACGGCGGCCGUAACUAUAACGGUCCUAAGGUAGCGAAAUUCCUUGUCGGGUAAGUUCCGACCCGCACGAAAGGCGUAAUGAUUUGGGCACUGUCUCAACGAGAGACUCGGUGAAAUUUUAGUACCUGUGAAGAUGCAGGUUACCCGCGACAGGACGGAAAGACCCCAUGGAGCUUUACUGCAGUUUGAUAUUGAGUGUCUGUACCACAUGUACAGGAUAGGUAGGAGUCUAAGAGAUCGGGACGCCAGUUUCGAAGGAGACGCUGUUGGGAUACUACCCUUGUGUUAUGGCCACUCUAACCCAGAUAGGUGAUCCCUAUCGGAGACAGUGUCUGACGGGCAGUUUGACUGGGGCGGUCGCCUCCUAAAAGGUAACGGAGGCGCCCAAAGGUUCCCUCAGAAUGGUUGGAAAUCAUUCGCAGAGUGUAAAGGUAUAAGGGAGCUUGACUGCGAGAGCUACAACUCGAGCAGGGACGAAAGUCGGGCUUAGUGAUCCGGUGGUUCCGUAUGGAAGGGCCAUCGCUCAACGGAUAAAAGCUACCCUGGGGAUAACAGGCUUAUCUCCCCCAAGAGUUCACAUCGACGGGGAGGUUUGGCACCUCGAUGUCGGCUCGUCGCAUCCUGGGGCUGUAGUCGGUCCCAAGGGUUGGGCUGUUCGCCCAUUAAAGCGGCACGCGAGCUGGGUUCAGAACGUCGUGAGACAGUUCGGUCCCUAUCCGUCGCGGGCGUAGGAAAUUUGAGAGGAUCUGCUCCUAGUACGAGAGGACCAGAGUGGACUUACCGCUGGUGUACCAGUUGUCUUGCCAAAGGCAUCGCUGGGUAGCUAUGUAGGGAAGGGAUAAACGCUGAAAGCAUCUAAGUGUGAAACCCACCUCAAGAUGAGAUUUCCCAUGAUUAU
rnacentral:rRNA from 1 species